GGGUCAGUAGGUUGGUCGUGCCACCGGUACGUACUGGUCUCACUGAUUCCUCCUUCCUGAAGAACCGUAAUGCCAUUAAUUUGUUGUUGCGGGGAAACAGGACUGUUACUUUGAAAAAAUUAGAGUGUUUAAAGCAAGCUAACGCUUGAAUACAUUAGCAUGGAAUAAUGGAAUAGGACGAUCGAUCCUAUUUUGUUGGUUUCUAGGAUUGACGUA
rnacentral:rRNA from 1 species